rnacentral:rRNA from 1 species
GGUUGAUCCUGCCGGACCCUACUGCUAUCGGGGUGGGACUAAGACAUGCUAGUCGUGCGCCUCCUAGCCAUGGUGGAGGCGCGGCACACAGCUCAGUAACACGUGGCUAACCUGCCCUUGGGACGGAAACACCCCCGGGAAACUGGGGCUAAUUUCCGAUAGGUGAAGAACCCUGGAAUGGGUCUUCGCUCAAAAGGCGCUUAGAGCAUGCUUCUGGGCGUUGCCCAAGGAUGGGGCCGCGGCCGAUCAGGUUGUUGGUGAGGUAAUGGCUCACCAAGCCUUUUACCGGUUCGGGCCGUGGGAGCGGAAGCCCGGAGAUGGGUGCUGAGACAAGAACCCAGGCCCUACGGGGCGCAGCAGUCGCGAAAACUUCGCAAUAAGCGAAAGCUUGACGGGGCUAUCCCGAGUGCCAUCUGCUGAGGAUGGCUUUUACCCAGUGUAGAUAGCUGGGAGAAUAAGGAGAGGGCAAGUCUGGUGUCAGCCGCCGCGGUAAUACCAGCUCUCCGAGUGGUGGGGAUGAUUAUUGGGCCUAAAGCAUCCGUAGCCGGCUGAGCAAGUCCUCUGUUAAACCCAACGAAUUAAUCGCUGGCCUGCGGGGGAUACUGUUCGGCUAGGGGGCGAGAGAGGCCGUCGGUAUUUCCGGGGUAGGGGUGAAAUCCUAUAAUCCCGGGAGGACCACCAGUGGCGAAGGCUGUCGGCUAGAACGCGCCCGACGGUGAGGGAUGAAAGCUGGGGGAGCGAACCGGAUUAGAUACCCGGGUAGUCCCAGCUGUAAACGAUGCAGGCUAGGUGCUAGGGCGGCUACGUGCCGCUCUAGUGCCGCAGGGAAGCUGUUAAGCCUGCCGCCUGGGGAGUACGGUCGCAAGGCUGAAACUUAAAGGAAUUGGCGGGGGAGCACCACAAGGGGUGAAGCUUGCGGUUUAAUUGGAGUCAACGCCGGG